rnacentral:ncRNA from 1 species
AAAAGACUUAGUCCUAACCUUACUGUUAACUAGUGCUAAACAUAUACAUGCAAGUAUCCGCGCCCCAGUGUAAAUGCCCUUAAUUUCUUACUAAGAUAACAGGAGCAGGCAUCAGGCUCACUCACCCAACGUAGCCCAAAACGCCUUGCUUAGCCACGCCCCCACGGGUACUCAGCAGUAAUUAACAUUAAGCAAUAAGUGUAAACUUGACUUAGUUAUAGCAUCUGUUCAGGGUUGGUAAAUCUUGUGCCAGCCACCGCGGUCAUACAAGAAACCCAAGUUAACAGCAUUCGGCGUAAAGAGCGGGCUCUUACUACCCAGGAGAUUAGAAUUAAAUCGCGACUAAGCUGUUAUAAGCCCAAGACGCGCCUAAAACCGCCCCUAAAACUGAUCCUAACAUUCCACGGCAGACUAAACCCCGCGAAAGCCAGGACUCAAACUGGGAUUAGAUACCCCACUAUGCCUGGCCCUAAAUCUUGAUACUUACCCCACCAAAGUAUCCGCCCGAGAACUACGAGCACAAACGCUUGAAACUCUAAGGACUUGGCGGUGCCCUAAACCCACCUAGAGGAGCCUGUUCUAUAAUCGAUGACCCACGCUACACCCCACCACUCCUCGCUCAAACAGCCUACAUACCGCCGUCGUCAGCUCACCUCUCCUGAGAGCCUAACAGUGAGCCCAAUAGCUCUCCCCGCUAAAAAGACAGGUCAAGGUAUAGCCUAUGGAAUGGAAGAAAUGGGCUACAUUUUCUAAAGUAGGAAACCUUACGAAAGAGGGCGUGAAACAGCCCUCAGAAGGCGGAUUUAGCAGUAAACUGGGAUAAUAAAGCCCUAUUUAAGCUGGCCCUGAGGCACGUACAUACCGCCCGUCACCCUCCUCGCAGGCUACAUCCCUCCCCAUAACUAAUAACCCAACCUGCCAAAGAUGAGGUAAGUCGUAACAAGGUAAGUGUACCGGAAGGUGCACUUAGCAUACC